GACGAACGCUGGCGGCGUGCUUAACACAUGCAAGUCGAACGGAAAGGCCCUGCUUUUGUGGGGUGCUCGAGUGGCGAACGGGUGAGUAACACGUGAGUAACCUGCCCUUGACUUUGGGAUAACUUCAGGAAACUGGGGCUAAUACCGGAUAGGAGCUCCUGCUGCAUGGUGGGGGUUGGAAAGUUUCGGCGGUUGGGGAUGGACUCGCGGCUUAUCAGCUUGUUGGUGGGGUAGUGGCUUACCAAGGCUUUGACGGGUAGCCGGCCUGAGAGGGUGACCGGCCACAUUGGGACUGAGAUACGGCCCAGACUCCUACGGGAGGCAGCAGUGGAGAAUAUUGCACAAUGGGCGGAAGCCUGAUGCAGCACCGCCGCGUGCGGGAUGACGGCCUUCGGGUUGUAAACCGCUUUCGCCUGUGACGAAGCGUGAGUGACGGUAAUGGGUAAAGAAGCACCGGCUAACUACGUG
rnacentral:rRNA from 1 species